GUUCCCCUUGAAAACUGUUGGAAGUGGAUAAGAAGAGUACGCGAGAACGAUCAUGUACACAAGGAGCAAACAAUCGUGAUUAAUAUGAGGUCCUGGUGUGGUGCCGGCCAAAGCCUCUUCGACAGUCAACUUUGUAUAAAGGACUAGGCAUCUUAGUCUGAUUCGGAGCCGUUAAGUGAAUGUCGGACUCAUGAAGCAGUUGUAUUCCGGUUCAUCAUUCGGCCAGUAAAAUUCUUGAUCCCACAAUGAAAAAGAAUUGAAAUCAUUUUGAUUCUUGUGUUUUCGGCGUUUACUAAAAUAUGGCAUGCCUGGAUUUGACCUAUCCGCUUACAAAAAAUGAAAAGAACUGAAAGCGUUGGCUUUCUGUGGCUUUCUGUCGGGGUGGAGUUGAAUCACUGAGAGCCAAGGCCAAACGGAAGCGCAGCAGAAGCCUGAAAUUAGCCUACAUGUACAGCUGAACAUUUCUACAACUAAAUUUUCUAGCUUUGGAACUCCAUCCGGAAGGUGGGAAAUUUCAGCAGGGCACCUGUCAUGCUCCAAACUCAAAUGCUGUCCUGCCGAAGGUACUUCUCAGAUUGCUCCUAAUUUACUGCAGUAAAGGGUUAAACUUUUCCCCAAUUAACUCACAGAGGUUUCCAGGUUCAACCUAAUCGAGAUUUUUCUGAUGUUUUAUCUUUACAAGAGUGCCUAUGUAAGCAGAAAUGUUCAGUGACCAUAUCAAACACCAACUUCGGCGUGUACCCUCGUCCAAGCAAACUCAAAAAAUUGUCUGUGGCAGCUGUUUGUGCCCCUAUAAGUUCUUGAACUGCCAGAAUGAAAUUCAAAGGUAUAAGACCGAACUUUCGGAAAAUCUAGUUCCCUACGAAAACUGGAUUAGGCAGCAGAGCAGUCGCUUAGCAGCAUUUGUGUGUACGGAAAUGUAAAAGUAUUGUCUACAGAAGUAGGCAUGAAAUGCUGAUUCUUUCAUAAAACUGAAAGGAAACUUCUCAAUCACAAAGUUGUAGGGACGACACGAGAAAUUUGUAAUAACAAGACUUCUUGAAUUUGAUUUCACUUCUUGGUGGCAGACCCCCUCGUCAAUUAAAUCUAAGAGAAGUUCACUCGAUAUUUGAAAGCGCAAGCUUUGGUGUUCACUUUGAUUUACCGCCAAGCUUGGAAACUGAUGGUUACCUUUUGAUCGAAUAGAAACCAAAAGAAACUUCUCAGAAAAUUCUUGAAAUUAUAAUAUCCAAGAGUUGGUUUAACAUAAAAGUUGGCAAGGUUAAGAGAGAUGGGUGAGUGAAACUUUGAGGAUAAGUAGUAAGACAUCUAACAACCAUGGCUUCAAAACUCAAAAGUUGUGAAAAGAAGCUGUCUUUCUGUUUCCAAACUGACGACUUCUUUUAUACUGA